rnacentral:misc_RNA from 1 species
GAUGAAGAACGUAGCGAAAUGCGAUAAGUAAUGUGAAUUGCAGAAUUCAGUGAAUCAUCGAAUCUUUGAACGCACAUUGCGCCCCUUGGUAUUCCGAGGGGCAUGCCUGUUCGAGCUUCAUUUCAACCCUCAAGCACAGCUUGGUCUUGGGCUUCGCCGCUAACCCGGCGGGUCUUAAAAUCAGUGGCGGUGCCGUCGGGCCCUGAGCGCAGUAAUCUCUCUCGCUAUAGGGUCCCGGCGGAUGCUGGCCAGUAACCCCCAAUUUUCUAUGGUUGACCUCGGAUCAGGUAGGGAUACCCGCUGAACUUAAGCAUAUCAAUAAGCGGAGGA